rnacentral:rRNA from 1 species
AGAGUUUGAUCCUGGCUCAGGAUGAACGCUAGCGACAGGCUUAACACAUGCAAGUCGAGGGGCAGCAGGGGAGUAGCAAUACUCCCGCUGGCGACCGGCGCACGGGUGAGUAACACGUAUGCAACCUGCCCUUGUCAGGGGGAUAAGCGGAAGAAAUUCCGUCUAAUACCGCAUAAUGCUGCGGGGAGACAUCUCCCUGCAGCCAAAGAUUUAUCGGACAAGGAUGGGCAUGCGGCGCAUUAGCUGGUUGGCGGGGUAACGGCCCACCAAGGCGACGAUGCGUAGGGGUUCUGAGAGGAAGGUCCCCCACACUGGUACUGAGACACGGACCAGACUCCUACGGGAGGCAGCAGUGAGGAAUAUUGGUCAAUGGCCGGGAGGCUGAACCAGCCAAGUCGCGUGAGGGAAGACGGUCCUAUGGAUUGUAAACCUCUUUUGUCAGGGAGCAAAAACUGCCACGCGUGGCAGGAUGAGAGUACCUGAAGAAAAAGCAUCGGCUAACUCCGUGCCAGCAGCCGCGGUAAUACGGAGGAUGCGAGCGUUAUCCGGAUUUAUUGGGUUUAAAGGGUGCGUAGGCGGACAGUUAAGUCAGCGGUAAAAUUGAGAGGCUCAACCUCUUCCCGCCGUUGAAACUGAUUGUCUUGAGUGGGCGAGAAGUAUGCGGAAUGCGUGGUGUAGCGGUGAAAUGCAUAGAUAUCACGCAGAACUCCGAUUGCGAAGGCAGCAUACCGGCGCCCAACUGACGCUGAAGCACGAAAGCGUGGGUAUCGAACAGGAUUAGAUACCCUGGUAGUCCACGCAGUAAACGAUGAAUACUAAUUGUUCGGGUCAAAUGAGAUCUGAGUGAUACAGCGAAAGCGUUAAGUAUUCCACCUGGGGAGUACGCCGGCAACGGUGAAACUCAAAGGAAUUGACGGGGGCCCGCACAAGCGGAGGAACUUGUGGUUUAAUUCGAUGAUACGCGAGGAACCUUACCCGGGCUCAAACGACACAGGAAUGAUCUGAGAAAUCAGGCAGUCCUCCGGGACCUGUGUCGAGGUGCUGCAUGGUUGUCGUCAGCUCGUGCCGUGAGGUGUCGGCUUAAGUGCCAUAACGAGCGCAACCCCCAUCGACAGUUGCCAGCAGGUGAAGCUGGGCACUCUGUCGAGACUGCCGGCGCAAGCUGUGAGGAAGGCGGGGAUGACGUCAAAUCAGCACGGCCCUUACGUCCGGGGCGACACACGUGUUACAAUGGCAGGUACGGCGGGAAGCCACCUGGCGACAGGGAGCGGAACCCGAAAGCCUGUCUCAGUUCGGAUUGGAGUCUGCAACUCGACUCCAUGAAGCUGGAUUCGCUAGUAAUCGCGCAUCAGCCACGGCGCGGUGAAUACGUUACCGGGCCUUGCACUCACCGCCCGUCAAG